rnacentral:lncRNA from 1 species
UGAUGUUGUUAUAUAGGGUGUUAUUAUUUGUUGUACUGACCAAUGAUGCUGGUAUACUGUUUGAUGUACCUGUUGUACUGACAGGUGACGUUGUUAUAUUGAGUGUCAUAUUUGUUGUACUGACCAAUGAUGCUGGUAUAUUGUUUGAUGUACCUGUUGUAUUGACAGGUGAAGUUGCUAUAUUGUGUGUUGUACCUGUUGCACUGACUGGUGGGGUUGUUAUAUUGUUAUUAACAGGUGAAGUUGUUAUAUUGUGUGUUGUACCUGUUGCACUGACUGGUGGGGUUGUUAUAUUGUGUGUCAUAUUUGCUGUACUGACCAAUGAUGCUGGUAUAUUGUUUGAUGUACCUGUUGUAUUGACAGGUGAAGUUGCUAUAUUGUCUGAUGUACCUGUUGUACUGACUGGUGAGGUUGUUGUAUAG